rnacentral:rRNA from 1 species
AGUCUGUUGCCAGCAGCCGCGGUAAUUCCAGCUCCAAUAGCGUAUAUUUAAGUUGUUGCAGUUAAAAAGCUCGUAGUUGGAUCUUGGGUCGUAAAGGUCGGUCCGCCUACUCGGUGUGCACCUGCCCUUCCGUCCCUUUUGUCGGCGGCGUGCUCCUGGCCUUAAUUUGCUGGGUCGCGGCUCCGGCGCUGUUACUUUGAAAAAAUUAGAGUGCUCAAAGCAAGCUUAUGCUCUGAAUACAUUAGCAUGGAAUAACGUGAUAGGAGUCUGGUCCUAUUGUGUUGGCCUUCGGGACCGGAGAAAUGAUUAAUAGGGACUGUCGGGGGCAUUCGUAUUUCAUUGUCAGAGGUGAAAUUCUUGGAUUUAUGAAAGACGGACCACUGCGAAAGCAUUUGCCAAGGAUGUUUUCAUUAAUCAAGAAAGAAAGUUGGGGGCUCGAAGACGAUCAGAUACCGUCCUAGUCUCAACCAUAAACGAUGCCGACCAGGGAUCGGCGGAUGUUGCUCUAAGGACUCCGCCAGCACCUUCUGAGAAAUUAGAGUGUUUGGGUUCCGGGGGGAGUAUGGUCGCAAGGCUGAAACUUAAAGGAAUUGACGGAAGGGCACCACCAGGAGUGGAGCCUGCGGCUUAAUUUGACUCAACACGGGGAGACUUACCAGGUCCAGACAUAGUAAGGAUUGACAGAUUGAGAGCUCUUUCUUGAUUCUAUGGGUGGUGGUGCAUGGCCGUUCUUAGUUGGUGGAGCGAUUUGUCUGGUUAAUUCCGAUAACGAACGAGACCUCAGACUGCUAACUAGCUACGCGGAGGUUGCCCUUCGCGGCCAGCUUCUUAGAGGGACUAUGGCCGUUUAGGCCAUGGAAGUUUGAGGCAAUAACAGGUCUGUGAUGCCCUUAGAUGUUCUGGGCCUGGUUCGAGAGGAUCGGGAAAUCUUUUCAAAUUGCAUCGUGAUGGGGAUAGACCAUUGCAAUUAUUGGUCUUCAACGAGGAAUUCCUAGUAAGCGCAUGUCAUCAACUCGUGUUGACUACGUCCCUGCCCUUUGUACACACCGCCCGUCGCUCCUACCGAUUGAAUGAUCCGGUGAAGUGUUCGGAUUGCGUCGACGAUGGUGGUUCGCCGCCGUCGACGUCGUGAGAAGUUCAUUGAACCUUAUCAUUUAGAGGAAGGAGAAGUCGUAACAAGGUUACCGUAGGUGAACCUGCGGUAG